rnacentral:misc_RNA from 1 species
GUCUCACCGAAAGUUUUCGGCCCCGAGACAUGGACACAUGGGAUUCACCCCAAAGAAGCGCUCCCGCACUUACCGUGGAAGAAUCAAGGCUUUCCCAAAGGAUGACAAGAGCAAGCCAAUCCAUUUGACCGCUUUCCUCGGAUACAAGGCCGGUAUGACCCAUAUCGUCCGUGAUGUCGAUAAGCCAGGAUCAAAGGUUAACAAGAAGGAGGUUGUCGAAGCCGUCACCAUCGUCGAGACCCCACCAAUGGUUAUUGCUGGAGUUACCGGAUACGUCGACACCCCACAAGGACCACGUGCUCUUACCACCAUCUGGGCCGAGCACUUGUCCGAGGAAGCUCGUCGUCGCUUCUACAGCAACUGGUGCGUUUCUAAGUCGGUUGCCUUCCGCUGUACUUAUGUACAUGAUGGUAAACGAACUGAGUGGCUAAAGCGUCCUGUACGCUGAAAGGCAUUUUGUUCGUAAUCGUAGAAACUACAGGGCUAAAUCCAAGAAGAAGGCUUUCACCAAGUACGCCAAGAAGUGGCAAGAUGAGGAUGGAAAGAAGCUCAUCGAGGCUGAUUUCGCCAAGCUGAAGAAGUACUGCUCUUCUAUCCGUGUGAUCGCUCACACUCAGGUGAAGAUCCUUCGCCGUCGCCAAAAGAAGGCUCACCUCGUCGAAAUCCAAGUCAACGGAGGAACCAUCGAGCAGAAGGUCGACUGGGCUCGCGAGCAUCUCGAGAAACAAGUCCAGGUUGAUACCGUCUUCGCUCAGGAUGAGAUGAUUGACACCAUCGGAGUUACCAGAGGUCACGGAUUCAAGGGAGUCACCAGCAGAUGGCACACCAAGAAGCUUCCUCGCAAGACGCACAAGGGUCUCCGCAAGGUCGCCUGUAUUGGAGCUUGGCAUCCAUCUCGUGUCGCCUUCACUGUCGCUCGUGCUGGACAAAAGGGAUUCCAUCACCGUACCAUCAUCAACAACAAGAUCUACCGUAUUGGAAAGUCUGCUCUCACUGAGGAAGGAAAGAACAACGGAUCCACCGAGUUCGAUCUUACCCAGAAGACCAUCACCCCAAUGGUAGGAUUCCCAAGAUACGGUAUCGUCAACCAGGACUACAUCAUGCUUCGUGGAGCCGUUCUCGGACCAAAGAAGCGUCUUAUCACCCUCCGCAAGUCGCUCAUCACCCAAACCAAGAGAGUCGCCCACGAGAAGAUCAACCUCAAGUGGAUCGACACCAGUUCCAAGACCGGACACGGUCGCUUCCAAACCACAGCCGAGAAGCGUGCUUUCAUGGGAAAACUCAAGAGAGAUUUCCUUGCCGAGGCCGAAGCUAAGGCUUAAAU